AACGAACGCUGGCGGCAGGCUUAACACAUGCAAGUCGAACGCCCCGCAAGGGGAGUGGCAGACGGGUGAGUAACGCGGGGGAAUCUACCCAUCUCUGCGGAAUAGCUCUGGGAAACUGGAAUUAAUACCGCAUAUGCCCUACGGGGGAAAGAUUUAUCGGGGAUGGAUGAGCCCGCGUUGGAUUAGCUAGUUGGUGGGGUAAAGGCCUACCAAGGCGACGAUCCAUAGCUGGUCUGAGAGGAUGAUCAGCCACAUUGGGACUGAGACACGGCCCAAACUCCUACGGGAGGCAGCAGUGGGGAAUAUUGGACAAUGGGCGCAAGCCUGAUCCAGCCAUGCCGCGUGAGUGAUGAAGGCCUUAGGGUUGUAAAGCUCUUUCACCGAUGAAGAUAAUGUCGGUAGUCGGAGAAGAAGCCCCGGCUAACUUCGUGCCAGCAGCCGCAGUAA
rnacentral:rRNA from 1 species